GACGAACGCUGGCGGCGUGCUUAACACAUGCAAGUCGAACGGAAAGGCCUGCUUUCCCUUGUGGAUUGCGGGUACUCGAGUGGCGAACGGGUGAGUAACACGUGAGUGAUCUGCCCCCAACUUGGGUAUAAGCCUGGGAAACUGGGUCUAAUUCCCGAUAGGACUGCAGGGUGGUGCCUGUGGUGGAAAACGAUUUUCUAGUGGUUGGGGAUGAGCUCGCGGCCUAUCAGCUUGUUGGUGGGGUAAUGGCCUACCAAGGCGGCGACGGGUAGCCGGCCUGAGAGGGUGGACAGCCGCAUUGGGACUGAGAUACGGCCCAGACGCCUACGGGAGGCAGCAGUGGGGAAUAUUGGACAAUGGGCGGGAGCCUGAUGCAGCGACGCCGCGUGGGAGAUGACGGCCUUCGGGUUGUAAACUCCUUUCGACCGCGAGGUAGCCACCUGGUUGGAAGGGUGGUGACGGUAGUGGUAGAAGAAGCACCGGCUAACUACGUG
rnacentral:rRNA from 1 species